UUACGACCACAUCACAUCGAAACACAGUUUUCCGUACGAUCAGACAAGUUAAUCAUCGUCGAGUCUGGUCAGUAAUUAGAUGGUGACCUUAUGGGAAUACCCGGUGUUGCAA